rnacentral:rRNA from 1 species
UACGUAGGUGGCAAGCGUUAUCCGGAAUUAUUGGGCGUAAAGAGCGCGCAGGUGGUUGAUUAAGUCUGAUGUGAAAGCCCACGGCUUAACCGUGGAGGGUCAUUGGAAACUGGUCGACUUGAGUGCAGAAGAGGGAAGUGGAAUUCCAUGUGUAGCGGUGAAAUGCGUAGAGAUAUGGAGGAACACCAGUGGCGAAGGCGGCUUCCUGGUCUGUAACUGACACUGAGGCGCGAAAGCGUGGGGAGCAAACAGGAUUAGCUA